rnacentral:lncRNA from 1 species
AAAAAAAAUUGUUUUUAUUUAUCACUUAUGUACCAUUUGACCUGGUGCAGAGAUGAUAAAAAUGAUGGAGUCAUCAAUGCAGUAUUACUUAGUGUGAAUUUGACUUAAAGUCACUAUUCCAUUAUGGUAUAAUGUAGUAUGACAAAAUCACCAAAUGACGAAAUCCUCAACGGACUGUAAAUAUAGUGCGGCAUCAUGACAUCAUUCUCAAAAAUAUUUUAAAAAACUCCAAGUGUUUAUUGAAAGAAAUUUCCCGAACCAAAUUGUUUUGCUGCGGAAUCAAAUAAGACUGAACAGAACAACCUUUUAUAUAAAGGGAAUAUUUUAAUUUGAGUAUCUUUGAUAGAUACCCGAGAAAUUUGAGUAUCUUUGAUAGAUACCCGAGAAAUUUGAGUAUCUUUGAUAGAUACCCGAGAAAAUAAGUUCAUGAUCUUAUAUGACCCCACAGCAAAAUUUUAAACCUUUUACUCUUGUGAGUGGUGAAUUGGGUAGUAUGUGAUAUGUGUGAAUGGUGUAAGCUAUUUGGUAUACGGUGUAAGGUGUAAGGUGAAUUUCGGGGACGAAAUUCUUAGAAGGAAGGGUGAAUGUGAUAACCCGAGAAUUU